rnacentral:tRNA from 1 species
GCCUGGGUGGCUUAGUCGGUUAAGCGUCUGACUUCAGCUCAGGUCAUGAUCUCGUGGUUUGUGUGUUCAAGCCCUGCAUCAGGCU